AUUGAACGCUGGCGGCAGGCCUAACACAUGCAAGUCGAGCGGAUGAAGGGAGCUUGCUCCUGGAUUCAGCGGCGGACGGGUGAGUAAUGCCUAGGAAUCUGCCUGGUAGUGGGGGAUAACGUCCGGAAACGGGCGCUAAUACCGCAUACGUCCUGAGGGAGAAAGUGGGGGAUCUUCGGACCUCACGCUAUCAGAUGAGCCUAGGUCGGAUUAGCUAGUUGGUGGGGUAAAGGCCUACCAAGGCGACGAUCCGUAACUGGUCUGAGAGGAUGAUCAGUCACGAAGGAGAUGAGACAGGGAACAGAGGCAAACGGGAGGCAGGAGUGGGGAAGAUGGGACAAUGGGUGAAAGGAUGAAACAGCAAUGCAGGGUGGGUGAAGGAGGACUUCGUAAUGGAAAGCACUUUAAGAUGGGAGCAAGGGAAGUAAGUUAAUACCUUGCUGUUUUAACGUUACCAAAAGAAUAAGAAACGGCUAACUUCGU
rnacentral:rRNA from 1 species